rnacentral:lncRNA from 1 species
CAAUACAUAAAAUUUAAUACUAAAUUACAUUAUGCUUCUCAUGAACUUUUGGCUUAUAAACACCAAUACAUGUUUAUGUGUAACACACAAGCAUAAGAACUCACAAGAACAAUAAGGGUGAAGUUUAUAAGGGAACUCAUUUAAUCAAAAGUUUUUUUCCAAUGUUACUUGAAUUCUUCAAAAGUGUUGUUCGUUGUAUGUCAAAUUCUCUAAAAAUAAUAACUUUUUAGAUAAUUUGGCACGAAUGUACAACAUUCUUGAAGAGUUUAAGUAAUAUAAUAUUUAAUUUUAUUUGAUUGGAUGAUUUAACUUGCCUAAUUUCCAUAAAAAUGACAUAAAUAAGGGCAUAAACUUUUGAACACUAUAAUCCAUGCUUAUUUUCUUUGAUCAUUCUUGCAGAUUGAAAAGAAGAAGAAAAACUUGGGCUUCAUGAUCUUCUAAAGUAAACACGAUUUCCUACAAGGAGAGGAAGAUUUCAUGUUAGAUAUUCUACGAUCGUUAAGACAUAUUCAAAAUUCAAAAUUUAAAAUUCAGUCAAUAUAUGUAAUGUUAUCAUUGUAAUACCAACUACAUUUUGUAAAAAAUCAAGAAAAUAAACAAUAUAUGUUUGGACAAAAAAAAAAAAGCUUUAGAGAUUAUUUAUUUAUAAUUUAAUUUUUUUUAAUGAAAAUUUUAACUCCAUCACUGAAUAAUAAGCAUAGAAUUUCUAGAGAAGAGAAAGAACAUAAUUGUGAAGAUUAAUUAUUAGAGAAACUAAAUCCUAGUGAUCAACCAAAUAUCAUGUAUAUUGAUUAGAUAAAAACCCAACAAUUAGUAUUUUUAAAUAAAUAAAAGAGACUGAGGAAAAAUACCUGAAAUAGCUCAUUGUUGGCAAUUGGAGAAUUAAACAUUUUUGGAAUAAUCAAUAUUGACACACACACACUAUAUAGCUUUAUUUAUAGCACCUUCAAC